CGAGGGGUGCAAGCGUUGCUCGGAAUUAUUGGGCGUAAAGGGUAGGUAGGUGGUCUCAUUUGUCAGGGGUGAAAGCCUUGGGCUUAACCCAAGAAGUGCCCCUGAAACGGUGAGACUAGAGUGCUGGAGAGGGUCGUGGAAUUCCCGGUGUAGCGGUGAAAUGCGUAGAGAUCGGGAGGAACACCAGAGGCGAAGGCGGCGACCUGGACAGCUACUGACACUCAACUACGAUAGCGUGGGGAGCAAACAGGAUUAGAUACCCUGGUAGUCCACGCUGUAAACGAUGAGUACUAGGCUUGGUGGGUUUUGACCCCUGCCGAGCCGGCGCUAACGCAAUAAGUACUCCGCCUGGGAAGUACGGUCGCAAGACUA
rnacentral:rRNA from 1 species